CAGACAUACAUUAGAGCUGAGGUUAGAAGUAGAAGUUACUGUAUUUGACAACAAGUGUGUUAAGAUGUCAGAAGGAGUCUAUGAAAACUCAGAUGGAUUUGAAGACGACGAGCCUGAUGCAAUGAAGAACACAGACAUUGAUGGCCAAUUAUAUGCCAACGUAAGAGCCUUCAAGCCCAGUCCAAGAGAUGGAGUUGUUGCUUCAGUACAUUUUCAGUGGUGGAAGAGACCCUCUGGAGUUGCUGCAGUGUGUCUGGGGCUGCUGUGUGUUCUCCUACUGGCUGGGAUCAUAGGCCUGUCUGUCUACU